rnacentral:rRNA from 1 species
AUUGAACGCUGGCGGCAGGCCUAACACAUGCAAGUCGAACGGGUGGCGGACGGGUGAGCAAUGUCUGGGCAACUGCCUGAUGGAGGGGGAUAACUACUGGAACCGGUAGCUACUACCGCCUACCAUCGGAUGUGCCGACAGGGGUUUAGCUAUUGGGUGGGGUAACGGCUCACCUAGGCGACGAUCCCUAGCUGGUCUGAGAGGAUGAACAGCCACACUGGAACUGAGACACGGUCCAGACUCCUACGGGAGGCAGCAGUGGGGAAUAUUGGACAAUGGGCGAAAGCCUGAUGCAGCCAUGCCGCGUGUGUGAAGAAGGCCUUCGGGUUGUAAAGCACUUUAAGCGGGGAGGCGUUACUCACAGAAGAAGCACCGGCUAACUCCGUGCCAGCAGCCGCGGUAAUAC